rnacentral:rRNA from 1 species
AGUUUGAUCCUGGCUCAGGAUGAACGCUAGCUACAGGCUUAACACAUGCAAGUCGAGGGGCAGCAUUUUAGUUUGCUUGCNAACUGANGAUGGCGACCGGCGCACGGGUGAGUAACACGUAUCCAACCUACCGAUAACUCCGGGAUAGCCUUUCGAAAGAAAGAUUAAUACCGGAUGGCAUACGAAUAUCGCAUGAUAUUUUUAUUAAAGAAUUUCGGUUAUCGAUGGGGAUGCGUUCCAUUAGUUUGUUGGCGGGGUAACGGCCCACCAAGACUACGAUGGAUAGGGGUUCUGAGAGGAAGGUCCCCCACAUUGGAACUGAGACACGGUCCAAACUCCUACGGGAGGCAGCAGUGAGGAAUAUUGGUCAAUGGGCGAGAGCCUGAACCAGCCAAGUAGCGUGAAGGAUGAAGGCUCUAUGGGUCGUAAACUUCUUUUAUAUGGGAAUAAAGUAUUCCACGUGUGGAAUUUUGUAUGUACCAUAUGAAUAAGGAUCGGCUAACUCCGUGCCAGCAGCCGCGGUAAUACGGAGGAUCCGAGCGUUAUCCGGAUUUAUUGGGUUUAAAGGGAGCGUAGGUGGAUUGUUAAGUCAGUUGUGAAAGUUUGCGGCUCAACCGUAAAAUUGCAGUUGAAACUGGCAGUCUUGAGUACAGUAGAGGUGGGCGGAAUUCGUGGUGUAGCGGUGAAAUGCUUAGAUAUCACGAAGAACUCCGAUUGCGAAGGCAGCUCACUAGACUGUUACUGACACUGAUGCUCGAAAGUGUGGGUAUCAAACAGGAUUAGAUACCCUGGUAGUCCACACAGUAAACGAUGAAUACUCGCUGUUUGCGAUAUACAGUAAGCGGCCAAGCGAAAGCAUUAAGUAUUCCACCUGGGGAGUACGCCGGCAACGGUGAAACUCAAAGGAAUUGACGGGGGCCCGCACAAGCGGAGGAACAUGUGGUUUAAUUCGAUGAUACGCGAGGAACCUUACCCGGGCUUAAAUUGCAACAGAAUAUAUUGGAAACAGUAUAGCCGUAAGGCUGUUGUGAAGGUGCUGCAUGGUUGUCGUCAGCUCGUGCCGUGGGGUGUCGGCUUAAGUGCCAUAACGAGCGCAACCCUUAUCUUUAGUUACUAACAGGUCAUGCUGAGGACUCUAGAGAGACUGCCGUCGUAAGAUGUGAGGAAGGUGG